rnacentral:misc_RNA from 1 species
GAAAUGCGAUAAGUAGUGUGAAUUGCAGAAUUCAGUGAAUCAUCGAAUCUUUGAACGCACAUUGCGCCCUUUGGUAUUCCUUAGGGCAUGCCUGUUCGAGCGUCAUCUAAACCUUCAAGCCCUGCUUGGUGUUGGGUGCCUGUCCCGCCUCCGCGCGCGGACUCACCUCAAAUCCAUUGGCGGCCCCCGCGUCGGCCACGAGCGCAGCAGAAACGCGAACUCGUGAGCCCGUCCGGGCGGCUCCCAGAAGCUACACCCACCCAGUUUGACCUCGGAUCAGGGAGGGAUACCCGCUGAACUUAAGC